AACCUGGACGAGAUCGAAACCAUGUGUAACGCAUGUUUCCAGCCCAUGGAAUCAACCAGACACGUCCUUAUGUUCUGCCCAAAAUCAGCUGCUGUUUGGGAUGAACUUCUCAAGUGGACAGGGAUGACAACGGCUACCCCAAACGACGUUGAUACCUUUCUCCUGUCCUUCGCUAAUUUGGGACCAAGGAAGAAGUGCCGG
rnacentral:lncRNA from 1 species